GCAAUUGCAAUUGGCCCAAAGCAAAAUCACCAAAACCUAAACUACAUUCUGAUCUCUUCGGCCGCCAAUCCCACCCCCACUUUCCCAAUUCUUUCUUCAACCAUGGUUAGACUAAAAAAUGCGAGAACGACAGAGAAGAAGAGUGAGAGAGAACCCCAUAACUUCUCUAUUCUUGAGCAGAAGAGUGAGUGAAAAUUUGAAGAUUUUGAAGUGGUAAUUUUGGGAAGAGCCAUAGUUCAUGGACUGUGACAGCAAAGCAACAUCAGAAAAUUGGGAUGAAGAUCCUUUAAGAAGUUUAAAAAGUCUACAGGCAGAUUUGUCAAGUUAGAGUAGCAAUGACAAGUUAAGACUAAAGCUAAGGUGCAGUUAAGUCGGUGCUACUUAGGGAAGAGAGAAAGGAGAAGACGAUGCUACUUUGUGUCUCAAGCAAGAUGGUGUUGUAGAAGACUUGCGUAUCGUGUUCUUAGCUACAUUGUAACAAUUCUUAUAUGUAUCUAUUUUGGAAUCUAAAAUAUUUGAAAUUUUAGUUGCAGGAUUAAAUUCUUGUGACCAAUUAUUUUGAAGCAAA